rnacentral:rRNA from 1 species
AGCUCCAAUAGCGUAUAUUAAAGUUGUUGCAGUUAAAACGCUCGUAGUCGGAUUUCGGGGCGGAGCCGCCGGUCUGCCGAUGGGUACGCACUGGCGGGGCCGUCCUUCCUUCCGGAGACUGGCCCUACUCUUAGCUGAGCGGGGUCGGGAGUCGGAUCGUUUACUUUGAAAAAAUCAGAGUGUUUCAAGCAGGCAGCUCGCUCUUGCAUGGAUUAGCAUGGGAUAAUGAAAUAGGACUUUGGUGCUAUUUUGUUGGUUUCGAACACCGAAGUAAUGAUUAACAGGGACAGUCAGGGGCACUCGUAUUCCGCCGAGAGAGGUGAAAUUCUCAGACCAGCGGAAGACGAACCACUGCGAAAGCAUUUGCCAGGGAUGUUUUCACUG